rnacentral:rRNA from 1 species
UACGUAGGGUGCAAGCGUUAAUCGGAAUUACUGGGCGUAAAGCGUGCGCAGGCGGUUGGGCAAGACAGAUGUGAAAUCCCCGGGCUUAACCUGGGAACUGCAUUUGUGACUGCACGGCUAGAGGGCGGCAGAGGGGGAUGGAAUUCCGCGUGUAGCAGUGAAAUGCGUAGAUAUGCGGAGGAACACCGAUGGCGAAGGCAAUCCCCUGGGCCUGCACUGACGCUCAUGCACGAAAGCGUGGGGAGCAAACAGG